GAGCCUUCUUCCAUUCUUGUCAUGCAGUGACAACCACGCAAGGAGCAGAAAGUUGGGUUGAGGUAAAGGGCAUCGAUGUAAUCUGAUGAAAAUGCAGCGUAUCUAUCUGAACGUGGAUCCCAAGGAGCUGCUACCUCUACGGACUUGAAGACUGAUUGGAUCUUAUCUCGAAGACUUCUUCGAAGGCAUGAGGAGUUGAUCCAAGUCGUUUGGAGUAUCCGUUGCCAUUUUAGCUGAUAAAAGAAGUGAAGGCAGGACCUAUCUAUCUACUCUCAAAUCCAAUCUUAAAGUUGAAGCGUUCAUGAUUCGAGUGUUGGGAAGGCCUUUCUACGUAUAAUAUGGAAAUGCUUGUUUUAGCUUCGGAGCACUCCAACUCCUAAUAAGAACACGACGAAAGCCUCUUUGCUUGGCUCACAAAGCAAAAGAGGAAGGCUUCGUUCUGCGUUAUAAAAAGUUGGCCAGCGGUACAAACUUGGGCCCUCUUCUCACGUGAUAAAGUUCUCUGCAGAGGCACAGGGGAAAACGAAAUGCUGCUUCGUCUACGAUAAGCCGGUGAAGUCCAAAGAACAUUUGGGUGUUUGAGCAUCGGGCGGCUGCGGUGAUUCUUCCACCUCGGGAGUCGUAUUUUCUUUUGGUGGUCGGUCAUCUCUGUUGGAUAAAAUGUUAGGACAAAUGGUCGAGAAAUUAGUCGUGGUAAAAUGGAGGCUUGCAGUCCUCGGUGAACUUUGGGUGUCUCUUCUUGGGCUCCGUGAACCCCAUGUGGGAUUAUGACAAGUUUUAAA